UGGGGAAUAUUGCACAAUGGAGGGAACUCUGAUGCAGCGACGCCGCGUGAGUGAUGAAGGAAUUCGUUUCGUAAAACUCUGUUCUAUGGGAAGAAAAGGACUGUACCAUAGGAGAAAGCUCCGGCUAAAUACGUUCCAGCAGCCGCGGUAAUACGUAUGGAGCGAGCGUUGUCCGGAAUUAUUGGGCGUAAAGGGUGCGCAGGCGGCUUUACAAGUUGGAUGUGAAAUAUUGUGGCUCAACCACAAACGUGCAUCCAAAACUGCAAAGCUUGAGUUAAGGAGAGGUAAGUGGAAUUCCGGGUGUAGCGGUGGAAUGCGUAGAUAUCAGGAGGAAUACCGGUGGCGAAGGCGACUUACUGGACUUAAACUGACGCUCAGGCACGAAAGCGUGGGGAGCAAACAGG
rnacentral:rRNA from 1 species